rnacentral:misc_RNA from 1 species
UAUCAUAUAAUUUUUCUUGUCACUUUGUUUUCGACAACAGUUGUUACGCGUUAAAAUAUUUUCAACACAGCAUACAUGGACAAAAAGAAUAAAAUGCCUAAAAUAAGUUCGAAAUCGAAAAUAAUUAAAUAUUUAACUUUAACAAAGAUUCCACGAAUAGCGUUAAUUGAAGUAACUGAUGCAAAUAUAUCCAUAAUAACAACGGGAAAAAUAAAGUGUGAAUAAAUUUAUGAAACGAUUACUGGCGGCUGAUGAAUGGCAAAAGAGCUGCAUUUAUUUAUUCUGAAUGUUUUAGUUUUAAAUGAAACAACGAUUAUAAAAAGGGAACAAAUUUAUGUACAUGCUCAAAAUAUAUAAUAUUUGAUUCGAGUGAAAACCUGAAUGUUAUAAGAAAAACUAUUUAUUCGUUGAACACGUGAAGGUACACUAAAAAUAUGCCUCUAUUUGGCAAAAAAGAUUUUAGCAAAAAAAUGAAAAAGGAUAAUAAGGAGUUUAAUAAACAAGCAUCUAUAGAAGAAAAGUACAAUCUGCAUGGACUACUUGGGACAGGUGCUUUUUCUGAAGUACGCCUGGCUGAGAGCAAAGAGAACCCUGAUGAACAUUUCGCAGUUAAGAUUAUCGAUAAAAAGGCGUUAAAAGGAAAAGAAGAAUCACUUGAAAAUGAAAUUCGGGUACUAAGGAGAAAUGGACAUAGAAGACAGCCAACUUACUCCCAAAGCUGUGAGAUCCGCCAUUGCUGCACCUAGAGCAUCAGCGCCACCCAUCGCCGCACCAAGGACACGAAGAGUCUUGAGUCCGCCAAGGCAAUCAUCUGUUGCAACACCCAGGGAUACGUUAGAAGAUCCAUUCGAAGAGACCUUGCCUCCACGAUGCAGCUUAUGCCAUCGGCCCCACGUGCUGAAGAGGUGCACUAUCUUCAAAAGCAUGAAGCCAGCUCAACGCCAACAGAUCGCUCGCGCACACGGCCAUUGCAUGAAUUGCUUGGCAGACUCCCACACCACCUUCGAAUGUCCAACCGACGGGUUAUGCCAAUACUGUCAACGCCCUCAUCAUACACUGUUUCAUCGAUUCCCUCGUCGAGUCAAUCCGCCAGCAAUCCGCACAAAUAACGGACACAGACAACACGAGGAUCCUGUCCAGCGCCGAAGAGGGCACCAUUCCAAACGCACCAGGGGAGCGCACUCACGACCACCUGCACCAACCUACGGUCAUCGUAAUCCACCCCGCAGACCCACUGGACUGAACGCCGUAGUGAGCACUCUGCAACGGUUGCAACGUCUUCUAGGCGAUUAAUCCGCCUAGGGGGGGCCGGGAUGUUUAUGCGACAUCUGGUCGUGAGAUAUUUUGCUACGCCGCGCAUAUCAUCCUCACAGCACUCAUCACACACAAUCCACACACAACCCAAUACAACACAACAUGUCAUCCACACAACCACAGCUACACAUCAUACCAACCACACUACACACCAACACUUCGCCUUUUUCACCACUCACAA